UAGGGAAUAUUGCACAAUGGGGGAAACCCUGAUGCAGCAACGCCACGUGUGGGAAGAAGCAUUUCGGUGUGUAAACCACUGUCAUGAGGGAAUAAGGCCCGUCUUCGGACGGGAUUGAAUGUACCUUGAAAGGAAGCACCGGCAAACUUCGUGCCAGCAGCCGCGGUAAUACGAGGGGUGCAAGCGUUGUUCGGAAUUACUGGGCGUAAAGGGAGCGUAGGCGGA
rnacentral:rRNA from 1 species